UUUAGAGGAGAGAUUCAGGAAGCUUGUGUUUUGGGCUAUAAUUUUGGUAUAUAAAGUUUGUUACUUGAGUUUUGUAUGAAGAAGUUAAGGUUGUUUGAAGUUAGGGUGUGAAUUGUUUACCGACUGUCACUCUUUUAAGCAUACAGAAAGUUGUAGAAGGUUUUCUGAAAAACAAAAGGUGUCGUUGGAAAGCUGGUUUGAAGGACUAAAAUUUUUGUGAUAGGGUUGUUAACUUUGAGUCUGUAAUGAGAGAGUUAUGGCAGUUUAAAGUCUAGAUGUGAAAUUUGUACCUACUGUCACUCUUUCAAGCAUACAAAGAAUUGUAGAAAGGCCUUUAACAAUCGAAAGGUAGAGUUGGAAAGUUGACUUAAAGGGCUUCAAUUAUUGUGCAAGAUUUGAUGAAAUCAGAUCUGAAGUGAGGAAGAAAUGGCUAGUCGAAGUCAGAGCUUGCAAAUUAAGGAAGUAAGUGAACCGAAUUGUUGAUGGUUAUGUUUUGAGCCAUUUUUUUUUGAGCAUUUUAAAUGAAUUUUGGCUCAAACUUGCCAAAGGUGUAGUUAUAAUAUUGAGAAG
rnacentral:lncRNA from 1 species